rnacentral:rRNA from 1 species
UACGUAGGGGCAAGCGUUGUCCGGAUUUAUUUGGGCGUAAAGCGCGUGUAGGCGGCCAGGUAGGUCCGUUGUGAAAACUCGAGGCUCAACCUCGAGACGUCGACGGAACCAUCUGGCUAGAGUCCGGAAGAGGAGAGUGGAAUUCCUGGUGUAGCGGGUGAAAUGCGCAGAUAUCAGGAAGAACACCCGUGGCGAAAGGCGG